rnacentral:rRNA from 1 species
UACAGAGGUCUCAAGCGUUGUUCGGAUUCAUUGGGCGUAAAGGGUGCGUAGGCGGGUCUUUAAGUCAGGGGUGAAAUCCUGGAGCUCAACUCCAGAACUGCCUUUGAUACUGAAGAUCUUGAGUCCGGGAGAGGUGAGUGGAACUGCGAGUGUAGAGGUGAAAUUCGUAGAUAUUCGCAAGAACACCAGUGGCGAAGGCGGCUCACUGGCCCGGUACUGACGCUGAGGCGCGAAAGCUAGGGGAGCAAACAGG